rnacentral:rRNA from 1 species
AGUGAACGCUGGCGGUAGGCCUAACACAUGCAAGUCGAACGGCAGCACAGUAAGAGCUUGCUCUUACGGGUGGCGAGUGGCGGACGGGUGAGGAAUACAUCGGAAUCUACUUUUUCGUGGGGGAUAACGUAGGGAAACUUACGCUAAUACCGCAUACGACCUACGGGUGAAAGCAGUGGAUCUUCGGACCUUGCGCGAUUGAAUGAGCCGCUGUCGGAUUGGCUAGUUGGCGGGGUAAAGGCCCACCAAGGCGACGAUCCGUAGCUGGUCUGAGAGGAUGAUCAGCCACACUGGAGCUGAGACACGGUCCAGGCUCCUGCGGGAGGCAGCAGUGGGGAAUAUUGGACAAUGGGCGCAAGCCUGAUCCAGCCAUACCGCGUGGGUGAAGAAGGCCUUCGGGUUGUAAAGCCCUUUUGUUGGGAAAGAAAAGCAGCAGGUUAAUACCCCGCUGUUCUGACGGUACCCAAAGAAUAAGCACCGGCUAACUUCGUG